rnacentral:rRNA from 1 species
UACGUAGGGCGCAAGCGUUUGUCCGGAAUUAUUGGGCGUAAAGAGCUCGUAGGCGGUCUGUCGCGUCCGUUGUGAAAACUCGAGGCUCAACCUCGGGCUUGCAGUGGAUACGGGCAGACUAGAGGUAUGCAGGGGAGAACGAAUUCCUGGUGUAGCGGUGAAAUGCGCAGAUAUCUGGAGGAACACCGGUGGCGAAGGCGGCAUUCUGGACCAUAACUGACGCUGAGGAGCGAAAGCGUGGGGAGCGAACAGG